rnacentral:rRNA from 1 species
UACGAAGGGGGCUAGCGUUGCUCGGAAUUACUGGGCGUAAAGGGUGCGUAGGCGGUUGUUUAAGUCUGUCGUGAAAUCCCCGGGCUCAACCUGGGAAUGGCGAUGGAAACUGGGCAGCUAGAGUGUGUCAGAGGAUGGUGGAAUUCCCGGUGUAGCGGUGAAAUGCGUAGAGAUCGGGAGGAACAUCAGUGGCGAAGGCGGCCAUCUGGGACAACACUGACGCUGAAGCACGAAAGCGUGGGGAGCAAACAGG